rnacentral:rRNA from 1 species
UAGUCCACGCCGUAAACGACGAUCACUCGCUGUUGGCGAUACACUGUCAGCGGCCAAGCGAAAGUCUUAAGUGAUCCACCUGGGGAGUACGCCGGCAACGGUGAAACUCAAAGGAAUUGACGGGGGCCCGCACAAGCGGUGGAGCAUGUGGUUUAAUUCGAUGAUACGCGAGGAACCUUACCAGGGCUUAAAUGCAGAAUGACAGAUUGGGAAACCAGUCCUUCUUCGGACAUUUUGCAAGGUGCUGCAUGGUUGUCGUCAGCUCGUGCCGUGAGGUGUCGGGUUAAGUCCCAUAACGAGCGCAACCCCUAUUCUUAGUUGCCAGCGGUUCGGCCGGGGACUCUAAGAAAACUGCCAGCGCAAGCUGUGAGGAAGGUGGGGAUGACGUCAAAUCAUCACGGGCCCUUACGUCCUGGGGCCACACACGUGCUACAAUGGUGAGUACAGAGGGCAGCCACCCCGCGAGGGGGAGCGGAAUCCCUAAAAACUCAUCUCAGUUCGGAUUGAAGUCUGC